rnacentral:rRNA from 1 species
GACGAACGCUGGCGGCGCGCCUAACACAUGCAAGUCGAACGAGCGAGAGAGAGCUUACUUUCUCGAGCGAGUGGCGAACGGGUGAGUAACGCGUGAGGAACCUGCCUCAAAGAGGGGGAAAACAGUUGGAAACGACUGCUAAUACCGCAUAAGCCCACGGCUCGGCAUCGAGCAGAGGGAAAAGGAGCAAUCCGCUUUGAGAUGGCCUCGCGUCCGAUUAGCUAGUUGGUGAGGUAACGGCCCACCAAGGCGACGAUCGGUAGCCGGACUGAGAGGUUGAACGGCCACAUUGGGACUGAGACACGGCCCAGACUCCUACGGGAGGCAGCAGUGGGGAAUAUUGCACAAUGGGGGAAACCCUGAUGCAGCGACGCCGCGUGGAGGAAGAAGGUCUUCGGAUUGUAAACUCCUGUUGUUGAGGAAGAUAAUGACGGUACUCAACAAGGAAGUGACGGCUAACUACGUGCCAGCAGCCGCGGUAAAACGUAGGUCACAAGCGUUGUCCGGAAUUACUGGGUGUAAAGGGAGCGCAGGCGGGAAGACAAGUUGGAAGUGAAAUCCAUGGGCUCAACCCAUGAACUGCUUUCAAAACUGUUUUUCUUGAGUAGUGCAGAGGUAGGCGGAAUUCCCGGUGUAGCGGUGGAAUGCGUAGAUAUCGGGAGGAACACCAGUGGCGAAGGCGGCCUACUGGGCACCAACUGACGCUGAGGCUCGAAAGUGUGGGUAGCAAACAGGAUUAGAUACCCUGGUAGUCCACACUGUAAACGAUGAUUACUAGGUGUUGGAGGAUUGACCCCUUCAGUGCCGCAGUUAACACAAUAAGUAAUCCACCUGGGGAGUACGACCGCAAGGUUGAAACUCAAAGGAAUUGACGGGGGCCCGCACAAGCAGUGGAGUAUGUGGUUUAAUUCGACGCAACGCGAAGAACCUUACCAAGUCUUGACAUCCUGCGACGCACAUAGAAAUAUGUGUUUCCUUCGGGACGCAGAGACAGGUGGUGCAUGGUUGUCGUCAGCUCGUGUCGUGAGAUGUUGGGUUAAGUCCCGCAACGAGCGCAACCCUUAUGGUCAGUUACUACGCAAGAGGACUCUGGCCAGACUGCCGUUGACAAAACGGAGGAAGGUGGGGAUGACGUCAAAUCAUCAUGCCCUUUAUGACUUGGGCUACACACGUACUACAAUGGCGUUAAACAAAGAGAAGCAAGACCGCGAGGUGGAGCAAAACUCAGAAACAACGUCCCAGUUCGGACUGCAGGCUGCAACUCGCCUGCACGAAGUCGGAAUUGCUAGUAAUCGCAGAUCAGCAUGCUGCGGUGAAUACGUUCCCGGGCCU